rnacentral:tRNA from 1 species
AAUUAGAUGGUGUAAAAACACAUUAAGCUGCAAACUUAAAGAAGUUAUCUCUAAUUA